AAUCUGCUUGAAUAAUAACAUACUACAUCAUAUAGGCAAGCUGUUUUUGCGUGGUAGACACUCACUUUCCACUGCGUACAGUGACUCUACAGUCAGUUUUACCCCCACCGUAAGCUCACGCAUGCUGCUUCAUCAGCUCACGCACAGCACGACGGUGGUAGCGUGCUCAUUCUAGCAUGUCUCGAUGACUUAUCCUAAUCCUUAUGUCUUAGGCAAAUACCAAUAGCUGAAUCAAUCUCCAGUGUAAAGGCAUUCCCCUUGUUUCUCCUCUUUUUUUUUUUUUGCUCGAAUUUUAAUGAAGACAAGGGAGGAGAUCCAAUCAGAAGGUGGGAGAGACCACUCGCAGGCAGACGGAGGGUGUCGGUGAUGGUAUAGAUGGAGAGCGCUCCUGGCUUCCUCUCUCCCUCCCCUCUUCCCGUUCCCCCUCUCGUCAGCACUCUCCUGUGGGUGGUACGACCUGGCAGAUUACAAAACACCCCUCCCAUGUGUCUCUCUACUCUCUGUGCCAGGGUGAGGCUACCGAUCUCAUUCUCCUGGAGCGUGUGAGUGUGUGAGUGGAGUUAGAAAGCAGGGAUGGAGAAAGAGACGUAGUUAACAAGAGUAAGAGGAAGGAGGUAUGAAUGAGAGUGUGUGUGAGAUUAGAGCUGGGAAGCUCGUGGAAGCGACAGGACACAAGCAACACUACUGUCUGCAAAGAUCAAGAGGGUAUCCGAGGGCAGUCAGAAUGGUGCUUCCUGAAUUAUGUUACACAAUACUCUCUAAAUGAUGGAUCCUCAGAGAGGAAGACGGUGACAGAUGAUGUGUUCAGACGGCGAUGAUGGGGCAGGGCAGCUGGUGUUGUGAAUCAGGCCGCCGUGGUGAAAGGGUACGGCUUCUUCACAACACCAGGGUCUCACCUCAUCACACACAACGACACCAUUCACACCCUCACACAUCAACCUGUCAGUUGACCCAGUGAGAGGACGCAGCUUUCCCAUCAUAUGUCAUAAAAAUGAACCUGUGUCUGCUGAUGACUGAUGAAGACGCAUGGAGAAGAGACGCUGUAUAUGUUCUGCUCUGAACUUACAGAGGAUUCAGUUCAUUUGUGUGGUUGCGUAUUUUAUAGUAAUUCAAAUAAUUAAAUUGCAGUGACUGUUGAUAUUAAUAACAUAAAUGUAAUAUCAUUGAGAAAUAAGAAUUGCACUUGAAUAGCCAAGGUAAAAUCUAAUAUCUUGUCAUAUGAUUUUUAAAACAUAUUUUUUUUAUGCAGCAGAAGAAUAUUGGAACUUAAAAUGUAUAAUGAUAAAAAUGUAAAUAAAAAUGGUAUAAUAAACAACACAAAAAAAGUAUAAUAAA